rnacentral:rRNA from 1 species
UACGUAGGGUGCAAGCGUUGUCCGGAAUUAUUGGGCGUAAAGAGCUCGUAGGCGGUUUGUCGCGUCGGCUGUGAAAUCCCGAGGCUCAACCUCGGGCCUGCAGUCGAUACGGGCAAACUAGAGUGUGGUAGGGGAGACUGGAAUUCCUGGUGUAGCGGUGAAAUGCGCAGAUAUCAGGAGGAACACCGAUGGCGAAGGCAGGUCUCUGGGCCGAUACUGACGCUGAGGAGCGAAAGCGUGGGGAGCGAACAGG